GCCUGCGCACUGCAGUAGGUGCAGCCUGAUCAUGGUGGAGAUCGAAUGUAGGCUACAUUAGGUUUUUUUAUGGCUCUUCAUUUGCCUAUUGCUGGACCUUUUGUUGGUGGAUGUUAUUUUGAAACAAAAAACAAUAUUUAAAUGUAGCUGCAUUUUGGAUCCAAGACAAAUUCUAUGGAACAACUCUACCAGAGCUGGCAGUUUCUCUGUGAAUGUUUUCAUAAAAUACACAUAUACUCCGUGCCUCUUUGGUUUCGCCUGGGAUAAGGCAUCGGCUGGUUUUGUGUAGCGGGUAUUUACAGCAUAACCAAAGGAAAUUUAGCAAAAUAAUCUUAGUAAAUGGUCCGAUGGAUGAAAACAGGUCAGGGAGUAACGUGCGUAGCACACCCAGAACCGCAGACAUAAUAUUUGUGAAAACAAGUACAAGUUUUGAGGUGGAAGAAAUCGAAACUUAUGGCUAUCGUAGUGAAUGGUGAGCAGUAGGCCGUCAAGAAUAGAAUAACUAGUUUUUAUCAUGAAAGAUGGUACUCUGAUCGACUUGAAUAAAAUCUGACACCAAUAACCAGUCGAGAAGAAAGAAAGAUAAAAUACGCGAGAUAUUGCCUACGCAAACCCGAUCAAUAAAAAAGGAGGGUUAUUUUCGCCGCCGGCUCCGGCGGAGCGUGGCGUGCGGCGGCGCGGCGAGCGACGCUCCGCUGCUCUCUCACGCAUCACCACUGAUGCGGCAAACAUUACACUGACCUUUGUUAUCCACAUUUCUUUACCUCCUACCAUGCUUGUAAUUAUUUAAUACCGUCUAAGUAGCUACGAUCUUUGUAUACAUAGAUAUACCUACCCCUCCAGAACGAUUAGUCUGCUUUCCCGUUUGGUCUAUUUUGAAUGUUGAUUUGGUCUACUUUGUGACUUUCAGUACAUUUUUUUAGAAAGAAAGGAAUGAAAGUAUUUAUUUGCAUUGAAUGAGUACAAAAUUGUUGUUUUGUGUUUUCCAUACAUUCAACCUAUUUGGCAUACAAAUAUAAAAGUAUAUUAAGUAAUCAUAUCGCAAUUAUAUUUUUAAAACUUAUUAUUUAAAUAAUUUCAUUCCAUUGUAAA